rnacentral:tRNA from 1 species
GCCUGGGUGGCUCAGUCGGUUAAGCGUCUGACUUCAGCUCAGGUCACGAUCUCGCGGUUCGUGAGUUCGAGCCCCGCAUCGGGCU